CUUUCCCAUUAAGUAGCUGGGAAUCUAUUGAUCAGAUUACUAAAACUUCUCAGGAAAAUACUUGCGUUACUUUUGCUAAAAUUUUGGAAUUUCGAAAAGACAUCGAAUGGUACUAUGUUGGAUGCACACAAUGUUUCAAGAGGGCUGUGCCCUAUUUUAAUCCAGAAACAGAAGCACUUGACCUCAACAAGUAUUCAUGUGAUCAUUGCAACAAGGAAGAAACUUCAACAAGUAUAAGGUACAAAGUACAUGUUAAAGUUGUUGAUCAUACAGCUGCAACCGCUUCCUUCCUU